rnacentral:ncRNA from 2 species
UCAAUUGAACUGGGGUGCCGUGUCGGCUGAGAUUAAACCCAUUGAACCUGCUCUGGUUAGGACCAGCGAAGGGAACGCGAACUUUCUGCGA